UACGUAGGUGGCUAGCGUUGUCCGGAAUCACUGGGCGUAAAGGGCGCGUAGGCGGCGCGGGUAGUCAUCGGUGAAAGUUCAGGGCUCAACUCUGAAUCGGCCGGUGAUACUCCCGUGCUCGAGCACUGUAGAGGCAGGUGGAAUUCCGGGUGUAGCGGUGGGAAUGCGUAGAGAUCCGGAAGAACACCGGUGGCGAAGGCGG
rnacentral:rRNA from 1 species